AGAGACAGGGGCAAGAAGAAGGGGCCACCGAGACCCCAAGAGAGUCAGGGAGACAGACGCACCAAACGACCGACACAACCAGGGACAGGGAGGAAAAGUUGCCUAUCUGUUGGGUCAGAUUUCUGAAGACUGAUGAGGCCCAUUUUCUGAUAUCCUUCGAGUUGGAUUUCGACUGGGUUCUGCCAGUGGGAUGUAUCCAUGCGAGAUUCUGGAACUAACAUCAGAGAGAGUCCAAGCUUCUAACUUUUAUCAGCGGCAGUGACAAUAGUCAAGCAGCAUUGAUGACAAACGGCAAGAGUUUAGAAAGUACCAGUGACGUGCCUGAUAGAAUCUCACCACAAGAUGGAAGCCAACUCGUCAGAAGCCUGGAAAGCCCACCCAGCGUGGGACCUCUGUGGGUCCAGGAUCUUGGAAUGGUAUCCCAUGGUUCAAUCUUCUGGAUUCAACCACAUAAAUUUACCCCACCCAUGUCGUGGACCCAAGCUUCCUACCAUGUAUACUUAGCUUAAAUGCAAGAUAGUACUAUUUUGUUCAUCUUGAUUGGAGUGAGAAAUGAAUAGGUCCAUGCACAUAUAUUUCUUUUACCACAACAAGAUGAUGAAGAAAUAAAUCCAUAAUAUCGA
rnacentral:lncRNA from 1 species